rnacentral:lncRNA from 1 species
GUUGAGUGACUUUUUGCCACUUGGAAAAGGUUUAUUUUGAUUUAUUGGGUGGUGGGGGGUGAAGACCACGUCAGUUAACUUAUGGAUCAAGGGAAAAGUUUCCAUAUGUGGACUCCACUAAACUGGUGUUCCAUAAUGUGACAAUUACUAUCACUUCCAGUAGGGCCCGAAGAUUGGAUAUUAAAAGUAGAGGCGGUGGAAUAAGGGGG